rnacentral:snoRNA from 1 species
GCAUGGCUGAAUUCUGCUCCAGCUGGGCUCUGUGCUGGAUACAGUCAGACACCAUGCAACAGCCUCGUCUCAUUCCUGCCAACAUAACCUGGAUAGGCACUUCCCUCAGCUAUUAUCCAGCUACACAGGAAAGAGUACAAUA